CCUGGGCUCAAGCGAUCCUCCUGCCUCAGCCUCCCAAGUAGCUGGGACUACAGGCAUGCAGCACCAUGCCCGGCUGAUUUUUAUAUUAUAUAUAUUAGUUGGCCAAUUAAUUUCUUUCUAUUUUUAUGGUAGAGACGGGGUCUCGCUCAGGCUGGUUUUGAACUCCUGACCUUGAGCAAUCCGCCCGCCUCGGCCUCCCAGAGUGAGCCACCUCGCCUGGCCUAGAACUGCCUCUUCUUUCCUUAAAAACCCACUUGUAACUGCUGCUAAUCAGAGUGUAUAUUCUGGGCAACUUGACUAUACUCUUGGGUGGGCAUCCUCAAGCUUUGGCUCCAACAAACCCGACACUUAAUCAUAUUUUCUGAAUCAUAUUAUGAAAGGUUGAUAACCUCUGGAAGCUUUUUUGACUUUCCGAUACUGAUACUACCAGUAGUGAAUAAUAAUAAGUGACAUUGGUUGCUUACUUCCCACCCUUGAUAAAUGUUUUAGUGUUGAAGUCUAAGAGGCAGGUAUUAAAUCCAUUUUGGAGAUGAGGACACUGAGGCUCAGGGAAGAAUUUAAUUUGCUGUAAUUCACACAGCUCUAUGGGGCUAGAUUUCCAAACCCAAGUAGUGUAACUCCAGAGCAUGCGAUUUUAACUUAAAGGCUUCUUGUGAGGUUUGACAAGAGGAUGUCCAGUCUUAUCCAGAUGCUUGGCAACCACUGAGUGCCUGGUUGAGGCACAGGAGAGAUGAACUGUUUAGCCGGAUUGGAUGUGCACCAAAAGCUGCUCAACUACUGCUGUGUGGUUGAAGUCACUGGCUACUACCUUCCACCAACCGACUUUCCCCCUCUGCCAGCUGAGGCCCUGCACCCUUUCAGGAUGGAGAUGAGGUCUGCUCAGUCCUACAUCUGGAGGGGUCCCCUGCGCACAAAUGAGGACAGCCAACCCGUAUGUCUCAGCUCUGCACCACUUGCAAACUGCCAUCCCUCAAGCCUAGGGGUGCCUCAAGCAGUCUGCCCUCGGGGGCAUAGAUCUAGGAAAAGGCUGCCCAGGCCCUCAUUGCAGGUGCGAGUCCAGGUGAGUGAGGGAUUCAGGUGUCCCAGAUACUCAGAGUAUGGUCCAGAAGGGGAAAGGGCUGUGCUUUCCAGGCUAUCAUGUCCCCUUGGUCCUACAUGGGAUAAAGUAUAAAGACAAUGUAAUAACAAGAGGGAUUAUGCUAUUUUGUAGGCUUUUUGCAGUUUAUAAGGCACUCUGACAUGGUUGGAAUUUUGAAGUUUGCAAGAUUAAUGACCUCAUUUUACAGAUGAAGAUACUCAGGCACAGAGAGGUUAGUGACUUCCCCUGGGUCCCUCCAGGGGUGGGGAACCUGCAGCUGUAAGGCCACAAGUGGCCUUCUAAGUCCUUAAGUGUGGCCUUUUGAUUAAAUUUUAUAAAACAAAUCUUUUUAUUAAAAUGGGUACAGCAGAGAAAGAUGAAGCUUUUCUUGCCUCCUUCGGUGCUUAGAAAAGAACAAUCUUGAAAUCCUGACUCUUCCUAUGUCAAGAUUCGAGUCUAGGUGUGGUGGCUCACACCCGUAGUCCCAGCUACUUGUGAGGCUAAAGUGGGAGGAUCACUUGAGCUCAAGAGUUCAAGGCUGCAGUGAGCUCUGAUCGUGCCACUGCACUCCAGCCUGGGUGACAGAGUAAAGACCUCUUCUCUGGAAGAAAAAAAAAAAAAGAAUGGAGGUGGCUGGUCCUUACCCAACAGGGCAGAGAGAGUCUGAGGAUCUUGGGCAGCAAAAAGCAAGGAAAUUUCCAGACAUCUUCACUAUGGGCUAGGGCCAGCUAUUAAAUAAAUGCCCACUGGUGUGGCACCCACGGGCCUGGCCAUAUUGGCAUUUAACCCCUCCAAUCCCCUUCUCCCGGAGCUUUGUAAGCAGAAGGCAAGCCAGACCCGGCUUUCUUCUGGAAAGCAACUUGGAUAAAGCAAGGCCAGACUUCUGCAUUCUGAGCUCAUAAGGCGUUAUUAGAAAAUGCAGUCGGUUCAGUUUCUGUUUCAGAAAAGGGCUGCUGUUUGGUAAUGGCUCAUUUCCCUUUUCGAGUCUCAGCAAAGACUCAGCAAAAUGAAAAACAGUGAAUAUCACCUGAGCAGCUAAUGAGCUCUUGAGAACAGGUAGAAGGUGUGACCCCACCCCAGCAGGAGGUGGCCUCGCACCAGCCCCGCUGUUCCUCAGUUACAAGGAUGCCUGGGAGGGGUAAGAACACAGCACCCCAGCUUGCCACCUCCAAGCCUGGAGACUUGCCCCCCAGCCCUCGCCCUCUCUCACCCCUCCCCCUCCUGCCUGAAUAUUGAUGGUGUUGGGCCUCAGCUGAAGGGAGCAGGUGGGAAAGCUGCCAGUGAGGAGUGGAGCCGCUGGGCGCGUGGUGAAGAUGAGCUUGGCUUUUAGAAUGCAAAGGCUCUGCCCCUAAUCUGUGAUCAUUUUAAAGCAAGGCUGAGUGUCCACAAUGAAUUAGCUUCAUUAAAGACUUUCCAGUCCUGAGCCCUCAACUGGAACAGCAGCAGAUGAAGUGUCCGCUUUCUCUCCCUGGGCCAGGUGUGAGCUCCUGACAACCACUCAUCAUGCUGGUCCAGCACCGUGGUUCUCAAAGUGGGGUUCCCAGUCCAACAGCAGCCACCUUGGACCUUGCUGGAGAUGCAAAUUCUUGCAUCCCGCCCCAGACCUAGGGAAUCAGAAACUCGGGUGGUGGGUACAGCAAUCUAUGCUGUGCAAGUGCUCCAAGUGACUGUAAUGAGGAUAGCUUCUGUAGUAGUAGUCAUCAGGAGCUUGAGUCCUGGGGUCAGACACACCUGGGUUUGAAUCUCAGCUCUGCCACUUAGCAGGUGUGCAUCUGAGUCUUAGUUUUGACAUAAAACAUGGGGAUAAUGAUGCUUCCUCAUAGUGUGAGCAAGUGGAUUAAGUAAGAUUAACAUGUUUGGUUCACAGUGCUCAAUAAGCAGUAUCUCCUCUAUUUCUCUAGAAAUCAGAUUGACAAGGGACUUCAAGAAGGCUGUCCUGGAGGUGCUAGCAGCCCCUUUCAGAUGUGUGGCCUCUGAUUCAUGCCUCAAGCCACCUCCUGCAUCCUGUGGGCCUAUGACUGGUUCUCAUUACUUGACCAGGACUGAAACUGUUGGAAGAUCUCGUUUAUUUCCCAGCUUGUCUAAAGGGAAUUCUCCCACCUCUGAGAGCAGCGUGCA
ensembl:lincRNA